GAAAACAGAAUAUGUAAAAUGUGUGCAUAAGUAGUCACCUCAUUUAAAGUGACUCACCUAAUUCAACACAGAUGCAGAAACUGCAAUGGCGCUGGAAGCCUUAUUGUGUAUUAGUGAAAAUGGAGAUAUUUGAGUGUAGUGAAUGUGUUUCAAGUAACUGUAUUACAAAGUCACUGGUGCAGCAAUGCUCCUGGCUAUAACUGCACAGUAAAGAUAAAAGAGCUUCCCAAGCAGUUCAAUGAAAAGAUUAUUUUAAAAUGUGUAAGUUAUAGGAUGGAUACAGGAAAAUUUCCCAGUCUCUCUUUUGAGUACAGUUAAAUUCAUCGCUAGGAAAUGGAAAAAAAAAUACGCAAAAAUCAAGACAGAGCAGAGAACUGAGUGACCAUGCAAGAAAGACACUAGUGAGGGUGGCCAGCAAGACAGCUAUGACUUCCCUAAUGGAGUUACAAGCAUCAAAGCUUUAUGGGAGAGUGACUAAAUCAUAACAAACAAGCUAUCAUGCAGUUACUGUGAUAUUAAUGUGGAUCAUGUGCUACAUAUAGAAACAGGGCUGGAUGACCUUAUUUUACUUAAAGCUCGGUAACUCACACUUUCUACUCAUGUUACUCUGAAAUAUAAAGUUGGGCUGAUCUGAGUUUCCAGUCCUUAAUGAUCCCACCAGCCCCUCAAGUUGUUCAAAUGGAAAACAAAAUGAAAAGUUCUCCAGACUCCAUCCUGAUACAACUGCAACUCUUGCAGAGCAUGUUUACAUGACUGAAAUUCACAGCUGAUGCAACCUUACAUCAUCACCCACCCAUGUCAGUCUUAUCUGAUGCAAUCUGUAAGAAAUACAGCUAUAAAGCUGCUGGAGUUGCUACUAUGGCACUUUAAGAUGAGAUGCACUUUCAUUGCACAGCUGUUGCAGCCUUUGCUUUGGUCAGGAUGGCCAGUUACGCGCAGUUGACGCAAGAGAAAAAGACUGCUAUUGCUGCUCUACACGAGGAGAGAUGCUCCACCCGUCACAUCGCCAAAAGAGUGUCUUGCAAUCAGUCGACAGUGAGCAGAUUUCUCUCCAAACUCAAGAACACCGGCUCUGCAGCGAGGAAACAAGGAACGGGACGCAAACGCGUGUCUACGGCUAAACAAGACCGAGUUCUGAAGCGCCUGUUCCUCAAAAACCGCAGCGCGUCUUCCUUCGAGCUCAAACGCGAAUGGGAGGAACAUACGGGAGUGGUGGCGAGUGCAGUGACGGUCAGGAGACGCCUCCUGAGGAGCAGAUGCCCUAAGAAGAAGAAGAAGAAGAAGCCCCUCCUCACAGAAAAAAAUAAAAAAGGUGCGGCUAAACUGGUGCAAGGAGCAUGUGGAGUGGACGCCUGAGCACUGGAAGUCUGUCAUUUUCUCGGAUGAGAGGAGAUUCAUCCUCCGUGUGGCUGAUGGACAGAGUGGAGAUCCAGAUUGUUUGGAGGUGAGAUUCCCAACCAGUCAGUUGAUAUGGGGCUGCAUUUCCUAUCAUGGAGUAGGUCGCCUGCAGUUUGUAGAUGGGUCCUUAAAUACCACUGGAUACCUGGCUAUACUGGAGGAAAAGCUGCUGCCAACCAUUAAGGACCAUUUCAAACUGCCAAAUAAGUGUAUCUUUCAGAAAGACUGUACUCCCUGUCAUCGAGCUAAAAGUGUGAAGAAAUGGAUGGAAGAACGGUCCAUUAAAACUCUAAAAUGGCCAGGAAGCAGCCCGGACCUUAAUCCUAUAGAGAACUGUUGGCAUCUUCUGACAUCUGCAGUUGGCAGAAAGAGACCAAAGACCCUCCAUGAACUUCAGGACGCCAUCGUUCAUGUUUGGAACAAUGGAAUUUCACCUGAUUACCUUCAGAUAUUGAUCUUGUCAAUGUCUCAGAGGUGUGCUGCCGUCAUCAGGGCAAGAGGUGGUUCAGUUAAAUUUGUUCCUGCAUGGUGAUGUUUACACUGUAAAAUGAAAAGACUUGAAGGCUUCCAGUAAUAGUCCAGCUACAAACGUUAUGUUUACCAAAAAUGUUAUCUUUGCCUUAAAUAUUAACUGAUGUAGAGCCAAGAGGUGACUCCAAGAUGCUCUUGGCCUCUUUAGGCUACAGUCUUGGCAAACUUCUGUCCACCUCACACAACCACUAGUGAAGCCUGUUAGAGGGCUUUGGCUGUACUCAUAGAAGUGGAGUAAAUAGAAGUGAAAAGAGUGUAACUUUGACUAACUAUUCCAAAUUUCAGAAAUGAAAAAGCUUGGUGUUCUCAAGGUGUAUUUCUAAAUGUCAUACCUGCAUAAGGGAUCAAUAAAUGUAUCGAAAAAAUGUAACUGUUCAGCCUAGAGAGAUUUGAGAUAUUAGUUUCUAUCAGUUUAAGCCUGGCCACCCCAUAAAAAUGUCUGACUGUGUUGCUGACUAUUAAUAAAUAUCUUUUGCUUGUU